rnacentral:rRNA from 1 species
CAAGGAAUUUUCCGCAAUGGGGGAAACCCUGACGGAGCAACGCCGCGUGAGUGAUGAAGCCUUUCGGGGUGUAAAACUCUUUUCUGAGGGAAGAAGAUCUGACGGUACCUCAGGAAUAAGCAUCGGCUAACUACGUGCCAGCAGCCGCGGUAAUACGUAGGAUGCAAGCGUUGUCCGGAAUUACUGGGCGUAAAGAGCGCGCAGGCGGCACUUUAAGUAGGGCGUGAAAUCUCUCGGCUUAACUGAGAGGGGUCGUUCUAAACUGGAGAGCUAACGAGGGCAGGAGAGGAAAGUGGAAUUCCCGGUGUAGUGGUGAAAUGCGUAGAUAUCGGGAGGAACACCUGUGGCGAAGGCGACUUUCUGGCCUGUUCCUGACGCUGAGGCGCGAAGGCUAGGGGAGCGAACGG